rnacentral:rRNA from 1 species
GACGAACGCUGGCGGCGUGCUUAACACAUGCAAGUCGAACGGAAAGGCCUCUUUCGGGGGGUACUCGAGUGGCGAACGGGUGAGUAACACGCGAGUAACCUGCCCUUGACUUUGGGAUAACUUCCGGAAACUGGGGCUAAUACCGGAUAGGAGCUCCUGCUGCAUGGUGGGGGUUGGAAAGUUUCGGCGGUUGGGGAUGGACUCGCGGCUUAUCAGCUUGUUGGUGGGGUAGUGGCUUACCAAGGCUUUGACGGGUAGCCGGCCUGAGAGGGUGACCGGCGACAUUGGGACUGAGAUACGGCCCAGACUCCUACGGGAGGCAGCAGGGGGGAAGAUUGCACAAUGGGUGGAAGCCUGAUGCAGCAACGCCGUGUGCGGGAUGACGGCCUUCGGGUUGUAAACCGCUUUCGCUCAUGACGAAGCUUUGUGUGACGGUAGUGGGUAAAGAAGCACCGGCUAACUACGUG